UGCGAGAUAGCCANGCANGUCUAGUACGUGCCGCAUUAAGGCGAAACCGCGAAUGGCUCAUUAAAUCAGUCAUGGUUCCUUGGAUCGUACCUCACUACUUGGAUAACUGUGGCAAUUCUAGAGCUAAUACAUGCAGCAGAGCUCCGACCUUCGGGGACGAGCGCUUUUAUUAGACCAAAACCAAUCGGACCUCGUGUCCGUCCUCCGUGGUGACUCUGUAUAACUUUGGGCUGAUCGCACGGGCCCGUCCCGGCGACGUAUCCUUCAAGUGUCUGCCUUAUCAACUUUCGAUGGUAGGUUACGCGCCUACCAUGGUCGUAACGGGUAACGGGGAAUCAGGGUUCGAUUCCGGAGAGGGAGCCUGAGAAACGGCUACCACAUCCAAGGAAGGCAGCAGGCGCGCAAAUUACCCACUCCCGGAACGGGGAGGUAGUGACGAAAAAUAACAAUACGGGACUCUUUUGAGACCCCGUAAUUGGAAUGAGUACACCCUAAAUCCUUUAACGAGGAUCCAUUGGAGGGUAAGUCUGGUGCCAGCAACCGCGGUAAUUCCAGCUCCAAUAGCGUAUAUUAAAGUUGUUGCGGUUAAAAAGCUCGUAGUUGGAUCUCAGUUCCAGACGGGCUGUCCGCCUACCGGUGGUUACGGACCGUUCUGAACAGUCGGCCGGUUUCCCUUGAUGAUCUUCACCGGUUGUCUUGGGUGACCGGCAAGUUUACUUUGAAAAAAUUAGAGUGCUCAAAGCAGGCGUGACGCCUGGAUAAUGGUGCAUGGAAUAAUGGAAUAGGACCUCGGUUCUAUUUUGUUGGUUCUCGGAACACGAGGUAAUGAUUAAGAGGGACAGACGGGGGCAUUCGUAUUGCGACGCUAGAGGUGAAAUUCUUGGACCGUCGCAAGACGACUAUGCANANUUUUUUUUUNNNGGAAAAAA
rnacentral:rRNA from 1 species